AACGAACGCUGGCGGCAUGCCUAACACAUGCAAGUCGAACGAACCCUUCGGGGUUAGUGGCGCACGGGUGCGUAACGCGUGGGAAUCUGCCCUUUGCUUCGGAAUAACAGUUAGAAAUGACUGCUAAUACCGGAUGAUGACUUCGGUCCAAAGAUUUAUCGGCAAGGGAUGAGCCCGCGUAGGAUUAGGUAGUUGGUGGGGUAAAGGCCUACCAAGCCGACGAUCCUUAGCUGGUCUGAGAGGAUGAUCAGCCACACUGGGACUGAGACACGGCCCAGACUCCUACGGGAGGCAGCAGUGGGGAAUAUUGGACAAUGGGCGCAAGCCUGAUCCAGCAAUGCCGCGUGAGUGAUGAAGGCCUUCGGGUCGUAAAGCUCUUUUACCAGGGAUGAUAAUGACAGUACCUGGAGAAUAAGCUCCGGCUAACUCCGUGCCAGCAGCCGCCGUAACAC
rnacentral:rRNA from 1 species